GUCGCCUUUGAUUUUUCCGUAUAUCUUGUUCAUCCAUUUUAUCCGGUACGCUUCCGUUAGGUGUCCGUUUUCUGCGGUACUCGUUCGUUGGAUGUACGUUGUCCGGUACGUUUCCGUUUCUCGUACGUUGCAUAUCCGUUGUGUGUCCGUUAUGCAUCCGUUACGCGUCCGUUUUAUUCGGUUAGUACAUCAACAGACUCCCAACGGAUAAUAAUUU
rnacentral:lncRNA from 1 species